AGUUAUCCAGGGUACAGUAUCUGCGUACAGGCCUAAUCACUAAGUAUAAAGCACUACAGUUAAUAGCUUGUCCAACUCCAGGUGUUUAUUGGAACUUGCUUGCCACUGUCCAAUUAGGCCCUUGGGUCGACAAAACCGUAGUCUUGUGGAGAUGAAGAUGCUUGGCCAGCACUCAAGUGAGAUUUGUUUUUGGGUUGCUGAGAUUAGUCCAGUAGAAGAUGUGUAAUUCCCUGGAUUGACCUCUGGAGGGGGGUCUGCUCUCUAGCAGGAGAGGGAAGUGGGCCUGCUCUGGAGCUGUCCUUCCUCACCACUCAACCAACCUGUCCCAAAUGGCACCCUAGGCCCUAUUCGGUGCACCACUUUUGACCAGGGCCCAUUGGGUGCCGGUCAGAGGUAGUGCACUAUAUAGGGAGUAGGGUGCCGUUUGAGAAGCAGCCAGAGGGAUCAGAUUUCACUCGUUCGGCACGCCAGGGAACAGACAGAAAUAACCUCCAUGUUCUGACCUAUAAAGAGAUGGAUUUCAACAAGCUGUUAAUUGAUGCUGCUGCCAAGUCAGGAAGAAGUUAAAGCGAUGACUUUGACCAUAGACUAGAAAUGACAGGAUGAUGGUUUUGAAGUCACACAGAGUAAUGUGGAGUAACUAGCAGAGGGCCCCUAAAUCACUGCGUACUUGUGUCUAUUCUGACAAACAGAAGUCCUUUCAGAAGUGACCCAUUACCAUCCAGACUAGUGUUAAUUGUUUUACUGCAUGGCUCAGAGAUUCCAGAAGUCACUGAAUUGUUCCUCAGACCUGUGUGACACCUCUUUCCACUAGAGGGCAGCAGAGGGCCUCAGAGUGAGCCUGCCCACUGUGUCAAAGUCACAUGACAGCCUAAGCCUACAGGAGGCCAGUGUUCUCAGACUUUCAAAAUGUCACCCGUGUUGUGUUUUCCUCUCUCCGUCUCUUUCCUCCUCUCUCUUUCCCUCUCUGACUUUCAACAUAUUUCCUCCGUGUUUCCUCAAAAAUACUUUCCAGCCGUAGUAGACUGCAGCAGAGCUGACACUGUGACUGUCGUUGGGUAGACUGCAGCAGAGCUGACACUGUGACUGUCGUUGGGUAAAGAGACUGCAGCAGAGCUGACACUGCGACUGUCGUCGGGUAAAGAGACUGCAGCAGAGCUGACACUGUGACUGCCGUUGGGUAAAGAGACUGCAGCAGAGCUGACACUGUGACAGCCAUUGGGUAAAGUAAAA
rnacentral:lncRNA from 13 species